GUAACGGUUAUACUAUAGCCAAUUUUUGCUCCUCAGAUCCUUUUCCUUUCUCUCUUUCCUCCUUUUCGACCUCUCUCUCUGUUAUCUUCAUCCUUGCUCUCUCUCUCUCUCUCUCUUUUCCAUCUCUAUCUCAACCCGAUCAUUCCUGCCUUACUUUGUCUCUCGCGCAGAUACCUCCAUCUCUAUCUCCACAGAUAGUCCUUUGGCCUCUCUCUCUUCCCUCUGUUUCAUCUCUCUCUAAAACCCUAAACCGAUCCAUAUGAAAAACCCGAAACCCUUGAAAUCGACUCCUUCAAAUCGUCUUUCUAAUAGAGAAGAUGAAGACAAAACCCUAAGACGACGCAAACAAAUGAAGAAGAUGAACAAGACGAAAGCAUGAGAUUGCUGAAAUUGUCUGAAAUCCAUCACGCAUCUUGAAAUCCAGCCCUAAUGUCAUGUUCCAAGUACUCUCUCUACAGGCUUGCUUGGCU